UAAACGGCCCUUUUCAGGGCCCCCAAUUAAAUUCAGCUAAAGGAAU
rfam:Apis mellifera strain DH4 linkage group 1, whole genome shotgun sequence.